AACACCUGUCAUCAUUAGCUUCUGCUCAAAAAGAACAAAACACACACACACACAAAGCAGAUGAACAAUGGCUUAAUUUAUGACAUAUCACUGUUCAUGGACAACAAAUCAAACUUCUGCACAGAGAAAACAAAACAGUCUUUCCCUAGUGCACACCACCAAGAAAGCAUGGCUGUGAUGUGGAGUGCUCUUGUGGACACAAACCGAGGAUGCACUUAAAUGAACUGCACUGAAGCCAAGAACAGCUGAGCGGCUCAGCCUCACCAAUCAGAACCACCAGACGGGGCCUCUCAUGGGGCCUCUGUUGGUAGCGGGUCACCUCUUCAUAAGUCAGGAACUCGGGAUCUCCAGGAUCAGAGCCCUCUCCGGAGGAUCCUUGCCUGUCCUUACGACUAAGCCGGAAACUCCUUCGCAAACCAGCUGCAGCGAGGCCGGGGAAGGGAUCGGAAGAAGAAGCAGAAAAAGAAGGUCUUGGUGGAGAGUCUGAAGACGCAGAUCUGUUACUUUCACCUGCAGAAAU